GUCUUGUAAUUGGAAUGAUGGGAAUCUAAACCCUUCCCAGAGUAUCAAUUGGAGGGCAAGUCUGGUGCCAGCAGCCGCGGUAAUUCCAGCUCCAAUAGCGUAUAUUAAAGUUGUUGCAGUUAAGAAGCUCGUAGUUGAAUUUCUGCCUUGUCAUUAAUCUCGCCUCCGAGCGUUUUUUUAUUGGCUUGGCAUCUUCUGGAUUUGGUGCCUUCGGGUACUAUUUUCCAGGAUUUACUUUGAGAAAACUAGAGUGUUUCAAACAGGCAUUCGCCUUGAAUACUACAGCAUGGAAUAAUGAAGUAGGACUUUGGUUCUAUUUUGUUGGUUAUUGAGCCAGAGUAAUGGUUAAUAGGAGCAGUUGGGGGCAUUCGUAUUUAACUGUCAGAGGUGAAAUUCUUAGAUUUGUUAAAGACGAACUACUGCGAAAGCAUUU
rnacentral:rRNA from 1 species